AUUAAUUAUGUAGAUAACUGGCGACUGCGAAUGCACGGUGCCCCAAAAGAAAUCCAAAAUCCGAGUCGAAACCAAACCAGUUGCCCCCAAACCAAAUCAUAUGCAGAACUGGUGACCCAAACACACAUAGUACGACUCCCUGGUAGUAGUACACAGAAAUAAAUGGAAUCGGAAACCAAAAUCGUUUAGGUGUCGGACAUUUUUGUGGCAAUGCGGCACGUCAGAUUCGAAAGUUCAGCGACCAGAAUCCGGAGGUGUUGCACCCAAAGUCCACACACGGAUUGCCAAAUCAUGAUUUCCCAAAUGCCAGUUCAAUUGCAG
ensembl:ncRNA lncRNA:CR44571 long non-coding RNA:CR44571